rnacentral:rRNA from 1 species
UACGUAGGGUCCGAGCGUUGUCCGGAAUUAUUGGGCGUAAAGGGCUCGUAGGCGGUUUGUCACGUCGGGCGUGAAAACUCAGGGCUCAACCCUGAGCGUGCGUUCGAUACGGGCAGACUAGAGGUAUGUAGGGGAGAACGGAAUUCCUGGUGUAGCGGUGGAAUGCGCAGAUAUCAGGAGGAACACCGGUGGCGAAGGCGGUUCUCUGGGCAUUACCUGACGCUGAGGAGCGAAAGCAUGGGGAGCGAACAGG